ensembl:lncRNA
GGCUACAGAGCCUCGCAGGCUUUGGGGUUCGCAGGCUCAGGAUGUAGGGGAGUCUCCGAGGAGUCAGGAAGGGAGGGGGCGGUCUAGCUGGAAGCUCCCUCCCCUGGGGCUGCAAGGAACUGCAAUGCGCCGCACCCACUGCUCUCUGGACAGAAGGGACUUCCUAGUGGGCCAGGCAAGCACUCUGCAGAGGCCGGAUGGAUCACAUUGAGCUACAUUUGCCUUGUGUCUUACAGCUCUUAAAGUGUCUCCCCAGAGCCCGGGGCCCACCUGGGGCAUCGAGGACAUCGAGGGCCCGCUUUUAUCAGAAGUUCAGGGAAAUGCCGCGUCUCCAUUGAGAAAACUAGUCAGAGAUGAGCUGGGCCUCGAACACACAAUCUCUGAUGCCAAAUUCGUUGCUCAGAGCAAUGAGACAGGCUGGGACCCCGGACUAUUUCCCAGAGCGCUUGCACCUGGACAAACGCGAGGGCACACACGUGGGGGCAAUGAACAAUGAGCUGCGGAAGCCACAAACUAACCACCAUGGCUGAGAGGAUGCCGGUUCAAUCCCUGGUCCAGGAAGACCCACAUACCAUGAAGCAACUAAGCCUGCACCAACGAUUGAGCCUGGGUGCGGCGACUGCAGAGGCCGAGCGCCUGGAGCCUGUGCCGCACAAGAGAAGCCCCCGCAACGGGAAGCCUGUGCACCACAGUGGAGAGCAGCCCCUGCUCACAAACCUGGAGACAGCUCACCAGCGACAAAGGCCCAGCACAGCC